GGCAAUGUUUUAUAGAAAAACUUGGACAAAUAGUCAAAUAGUUAUAUUUAUGUUUUUUUUUUUAUAAAAUGGUAAUGUUACAUUAUGGAGAUAAACUGUUUUUUUUAGUGAAAAAUAGUAAUUUUACAUAUGUUUAAUGUAGUUUUUCCAUUUUUUUCAUGUUGUAUGUUUACAUAUUAUUUUUAUUUUUAAAUGUAAAAUGGUAAUCAUACAUAUGUUUAAUGUAGUAUUUCCAUUUUUUAUGAUGUAUGUUUGCAUAUUAUUUAUUAUUUUCGAAAUUAUAUAUAAUGUUUUUUUUUUACAAAAUAGUAAUGUUACAUUAUGCAGAUAAGCCGUCUUUUUUUAGUGAAAGAUGGUAAUCUUACAUAUGUUUAAUGUUUACAUAUUAUUUUUUAAAAAUAAAAAUGUAAAAUGGUAAUCUUACAUAUGUUUAAUGUAGUAUUUCCAUUUUUUAUGUUGU
rnacentral:lncRNA from 1 species